rnacentral:rRNA from 1 species
UACAGAGGUGGCAAGCGUUGUUCGGAAUUACUGGGCGUAAAGGGCGCGUAGGCGGUCUUGCAAGUCCCGUGUGAAAUCCCUCGGCUCAACUGAGGAACUGCACGGGAAACUGCUUGGCUUGAGUUCGGGAGAGGGAAGCGGAAUUCCGGGUGUAGCGGUGAAAUGCGUAGAUAUCCGGAGGAACACCGGUGGCGAAGGCGGCUUCCUGGACCGACAUUGACGCUGAGGAGCGAAAGCUAGGGGAGCAAACGGG